AACGAACGCUGGCGGCAUGCCUAACACAUGCAAGUCGAACGAGACCUUCGGGUCUAGUUGCUCACGGGUGCGUAACGCGUGGGAACCUGCCCUUAGGUUCGGAAUACCUCCCCGAAAGGGGUGCUAAUACCGGAUAAUGUCUUCGGACCAAAGAUUUAUCGCCUUUGGAUGGGCCCGCGUUGGAUUAGCGAGUUGGUAGGGUAAAAGCCUACCAAGGCGACGAUCCAUAGCUGUUCUGAGAGGAUGGUCAGCCACACUGGAACUGGGACACGGCCCAGACUACUACGGGAGGCAGCAGUGGGGAAUAUUGGACAAUGGGCGAAAGCCUGAUCCAGCAAUGCCGCGUGAGUGAUGAAGGCCUUAGGGUUGUAAAGCUCUUUUACCCGGGAUGAUAAUGACAGUACCGGGAGAAUAAGCUCCGGCUAACUCCGUG
rnacentral:rRNA from 1 species